CGCCCUUAGAGUUUGAUCCUGGCUCAGGAUGAACGCUAGCUACAGGCUUAACACAUGCAAGUCGAGGGGCAGCGGGAUUGAAGCUUGCUUCAAUUGCCGGCGACCGGCGCACGGGUGAGUAACGCGUAUCCAACCUUCCGUACACUCAGGGAUAGCCUUUCGAAAGAAAGAUUAAUACCUGAUGGUAUGAUGAGAUUGCAUGAUAGCAUCAUUAAAGAUUUAUCGGUGUACGAUGGGGAUGCGUUCCAUUAGGUAGUAGGCGGGGUAACGGCCCACCUAGCCAACGAUGGAUAGGGGUUCUGAGAGGAAGGUCCCCCACAUUGGAACUGAGACACGGUCCAAACUCCUACGGGAGGCAGCAGUGAGGAAUAUUGGUCAAUGGACGAGAGUCUGAACCAGCCAAGUAGCGUGAAGGAUGAAGGUCCUACGGAUUGUAAACUUCUUUUAUAAGGGAAUAAACCCUCCCACGUGUGGGAGCUUGUAUGUACCUUAUGAAUAAGCAUCGGCUAACUCCGUGCCAGCAGCCGCGGUAAUACGGAGGACGCGAGCGCUAUCCGGAUUUAUUGGGUUUAAAGGGAGCGCAGACGGGUCGUUAAGUCAGCUGUGAAAGUUUGGGGCUCAACCUUAAAAUUGCAGUUGAUACUGGCGUCCUUGAGUGCGGUUGAGGUGUGCGGAAUUCGUGGUGUAGCGGUGAAAUGCUUAGAUAUCACGAAGAACUCCGAUUGCGAAGGCAGCACACUAAUCCGUAACUGACGUUCAUGCUCGAAAGUGUGGGUAUCAAACAGGAUUAGAUACCCUGGUAGUCCACACGGUAAACGAUGGAUACUCGCUGUUGGCGAUAUACUGUCAGCGGCUUAGCGAAAGCGUUAAGUAUCCCACCUGGGGAGUACGCCGGCAACGGUGAAACUCAAAGGAAUUGACGG
rnacentral:rRNA from 1 species